UACGGGGGGGGCAAGCGUUGUUCGGAAUUACUGGGCGUAAAGGGCUCGUAGGCGGCCAACUAAGUCAUACGUGAAAUCCCUCGGCUUAACCGGGGAACUGCGUCUGAUACUGGAUGGCUUGAGUUCGGGAGAGGGAUGCGGAAUUCCAGGUGUAGCGGUGAAAUGCGUAGAUAUCUGGAGGAACACCGGUGGCGAAGGCGGCAUCCUGGACCGAUACUGACGCUGAGGAGCGAAAGCCAGGUGAGCAAACGGG
rnacentral:rRNA from 1 species